AAGCAGAGCUUUCAAGUUGUUUGUAAAAAAACCACCUGAGGAGCAGGUAGUCAUGCAGCAUCCAUCUUGUGCUGUUUUGAGCCAGCUGUCUGCAGAUGUGGGCAGUAAAGAACUGCCACUGUAGGUAAUAUUCAGUGUGUCUCCUUUCCUUCCCCUCUGAACAUCUGAUACCAUGGCAGCAUCCCUGCUCGCAGGGGGAUUAGGUGCUAGCACAGACCACUGCUGCUGUAUCCAAUUCCUACUGAUUUAUUCAAAUGACUUGGAAAAGUACAUCCAGCAGCUGAGUUCAGAAAAACUCUGUUGAAAAACAUGCUUGGCUCUUCAGGGGCUAUUGCUGUGAGAUCUGUGGAAAGAGUAAACCCCAAACUCUCAUGUGCAGCAGGGGUGGGGAAUGGAAGGGUUGUGGGUCUGAAUGUGUGUGGGAAGAAAUGUGCCUGGGGUCUCAAAGCAGCUGGAGGGGUGGCCCCACUAGACAGUUUUUGAAUUUAAUUUAGAAAUAGAAGGAAAAUAGGAAUCACAACAUUUGAAACAUCUGCCUAGAAAUGGAUGGUGUGGUUGCUGUAUUACUUUGCAGUGGCAAAGCCAGGUUUGCCUGCAGAAUGUCUGUGCCUCUUCCCUGAUAGCUCCUAUGCUGUUUUUCCUCCUGGGGUUAACACAGUAAAAGGGAAAACAAUAUUUUUGUGUGAGUUAGGUGCCUCUUUGCUGGCUUGUCCUGGACCUGCAGGAAAACUGAGCAAAUUGGAGCUGCUGUGAAGGGCUACUCAGUCAUUAGUCCAGAGAGGGUCAUGAGCCAUGGGAUUUCAAUGCCUUACUCCCAAGGGUAACUAAACAGUUAGUUAGGCAAAUCCUCCUGAAAGACACCCUGCUUUGAUACAUUCAGAUAAGCCCAGCAGCAUGAUCAAAAUACACAGCUACAACAAAGGCUUCCUGCCAUGGAUAUGCAAAUAUUGAGAUCAGUGCAAAUCACAAACCUCAUGCAAAGCAAACUGUGACUGCUGUUUACCUCUGGUGCACAGCACCCACAGCUACAAUGCUUCCCUCUUUUAUGCUUGUGUCAAGUUGCUCUUGAAAGCUUCUGCUGAGCAAUAAUUUCUGCACCUUGUUCCAGUGGUUGCCCCUUUCAUGUCGUCCCCCCAGGAGUCUGCCAUGCCUUGACAUAGUUUUAUGUUUGUCCAGUUUCUCUAGCCUGAACUAGACUGUCUAAAAAGCAAGUCUCGGUCCUUCACUGGUAUUUUUUAAACUUUCCCUUGCCAGAAUCUCACUGCUUUUCUGGAAAUAAACAAUUCCUGGGGCUGCUUGCUCAAAACACACAUUUUGCAGCUUAUUACCAUAGCGAUCUUUCCCAGAGAUUCUCUCUCCAUAUGUGGAUUGCUUCGUACCGUGAGCAGCUCCCAGACAGCAUGAACGUUUCUCAGCUCCUUCUCCCCGAGAGGCAACAGGGGAGAAUAGUCCCAGUUCCCCGCAAUGGAGACAAUGCUGGAAGUGAUGCUGGAGUCGAGGAGUGGAAGAGAUGCAUAAACAUGGAGGCAGCAUGCCUAAUUAAUGACCUGAAACCAGCUGGAAAGAGGAAAUCGGUUCAUCGGUCUGAGCAUUCAGCACAGCGAUUGAGAGCAGUCUGAAUCUGGAGCACCAAGUAGGCAUCACCAGAACCAUCUGAAAAGAGAGAAAAGAGGCAGUGAGCGAGGGAUCGGGGCUGGAGGCCGUGUGCUCUGCAGGCUUCACCAAAACCAGCCUGUCCCCCCUCCAGGAGAAGUUUGAGUUAGCAGCAGUCUCCUUCCCCUCUCGUGUUGGCAGAAAUGCUGCUGCCACUGCUGCCAUGUGGCUUGGAGUGACUUCAGAUGUGACUCCUCCAGAGGGUCCUCCCCGAACUCAAGUUAUUGAUCUCAACGACCCAAGGAGGAAAACUGCCAAUGUGCAAAAUUUCAUUAACUUGCAAGGCAGCAAGACAGAGUCCCCCAGGCCAAAUUGCAAAUCUGCAAAUCAUGGUGUAAGGUAGAGGUGAAGAACAAAGUAGUAGAAAAGGAGAACAGAGGGAACAGUACUGAUGGUUCCCAUCACUCCUUGUUGAGGCUGCUCCGAGAGUCCACUGAAAUACCCAGGAACACAGCUUUGGUUUUGGGAGAGUGGGAACACUCUGGACCCAGCUUCUCCAGCCCUCCUCCUGUGCAGGAGAUGUGCUGGCACUGUCACAGCCACAGAAUACAGGAAGAAAGCUGCACAAGGAAGAAAAACUUAACUCUGUUGGAGCUCUGAAUGCUUCUAAGAAAAACUGCUACCUAGCCUAGUGUCUGCACUUCUGCUCUGCUGCCUCAGAAAGGCCUUGGCUCCAGCUGAGAAAAAGUCCAGAAGAGAUCCACGACUGGUGGGAUUCAUUAGACAUUUUGAACAGAGCUCCUUCUGCCAUGAUUUUCUCUAUUUCACAGUGGACUCAACCAGCAGAACUGGGGAGGAUCAUCACAGACCCAAGACUGCAAAGGUAUCAAUCUAUCUAUAUGCAAAGUAUAUAACUAAGUAUCCAACAUACAGUUCAAGCCAGCAAGUAUGCCUGACCUGAAGACCCUGGAUUGCCUUAGAUGCAGUUGUCUAAGGAUUUCCCUUAAACAAUUUUCCUUCCAAGGACCUUAAAGCACGAUGUGCUACCCAGGAUUUUCCACUCCCAGUUUACAAGACAAAUAGUGAAAAUGAAGUGUUUGCCUUGGAGCCACCCCAUGCCUGGAGAGCAGUGACCCUGCAAACCAUUGUUGUGUGCAAGGCUCAGGAGUCCGGAUCUCACACAGCCCCGUGCCUCAGUGUCACUGUGGGACCCUCCUGGGACUCCUCUUGCUCUCCUCAUCCACUUGCUCAGAGCACAGAAUUAAGAAAAAGGAAUCAAGUUUCUGUUGGCUUUCCCAUUAGAGAUGGUUUCUGAACAGUUUCCAAAGUUUGGAAUAUUUGAUAUUUCAAGGACAUCACAACAUCCUGUUUCACUUUCUACAACCCUCAGUAUGUCUUUCCUGUUUCUAGUAGCCACCCCUAUUCUAUAAAGCUUUGGAACAGAAGAUAUGCUAGGAGUGAAGCUCUUAAGGAGAAAAACCCAAAGAGCUGAUAUUUCCUUCUCUUUCUUGUUUCCCUUCUCUAAGCUAUUUGACCUUCCCUUCUGUAAAUAUUGAUGAAACUGAAUGCUGGAGAGGAAGGGUUCUCACUGUUAAGUCAUACCAAAAGGUAUCAAUACAGUAAAUUUUCAAAAUCUUACCCUAUAUCCAUUCUCCAAGUGUGGUAAGUGUGCCACUUCUUUCCCAUUACUGAAUUAGAUAUUUAAAUGUUAAAAAAAUUUCAAACUUAUAAUUUCUGCAUGUUAUUUUCUCAGACAAUUUAUUUUUAAAAAAGUAUUUUUAAGUUACAAAAAAUAAUCUAGAACUGUGCUUUUGUCCUAGGGUAUUCACAGUUUGUAGCAGGAAAAUUGCAUGAAGUAUUACAAAAAUAAUAGAAUUAUAGAGACAUGGGUAAAUUAGGUACAUGAGAAAGGAUUAAAACAGCUUUCUCUGAGAGAAAUUAAGUCUCACAGAGGAGUAAAUGAGUACAGCUUUAACUGUGACCCAGGUGAAAUAGUGCAGUUCAGUUAAGAAAACUUUUUGAUGAGACAUCUCCAAGGACUUCUACAGUAACUAAGCUGUCAUGGAAUGAAUGUGGAUGUCCUCUUCUGAAUUAACUGUCAAAAGAUAAGAGACCAAAUGAAGGAAUAAAUGGACUGCUUUCUCAUGGAGAGGCCAUCAGGGGAGUCGUGCUACAUCUGUGCUUGUCAACAUGUUUCCAAAUGGUCUGAGAAAGAAGCUGAAUUCAACGCUAAUGAGUGAGAGUUUAUGGAAAAAGCAAACCAUUAGCACCAUGAUGGAGAGACUGCUUCAAAAGGGGAUUCAACAGGCUCAGAGAAAGAACAGUCUAACUACAGCUAGCAAACCCAACCAGACGAAUGCAUCUUCCAAAACAACAUCUCCAAGUCUCCAUCAGAAGCUGAAAUAGUUUAAGAGGAAAAGAAUCCCUGUGGAUAUCCUUUCUGCUCCUGCUCUAUGUUUCUGCUACCAAACUCAUCUGCGGGACGCUGAGUGGAGUGACUCUGGUGAGGUGCUGGACCUUCUACAGGUCUCAUCAUCUCAUUCCUCCUCUGCACAAAAUAAUCAAUCAACUUAAAACAAUUACAUCAGUGAAAAAAGAGGGAAAAGCAUACAGUGGUUUAUUUUUCUUUAUGUGGGAUGUGCAGAUGCUGUGACAGGCAGCCUUGCUUCAGAAACAUCAAAAGUGUAAUGGUGUUAAUGGAAUCACUUAGGCCUGAGAAAAUAAUCUGUCAUUUACAAGUAAAUGACAACUCAAAACUUGUAACUACGGGACUGCAAAAUAUGGCCACAAAAUGCUUCCACAAGCAUUGUCCAAGAAAUUAUUACACAAAAUGCUUCCCCAAGCAUGAGUCCAGAAAAUUAUUGCACAGCUGUAGCACAAAUGCGGAGAAGAUUAGUAGAGACUUUCAAUAGAUUUUUAGGUUCUCCAUCUUUAAAAAUACCUUUUAUUCUCAAUGCAGCUUGAUUGCAUAUAGUAGCUGGCAUGAAGGCAAAAAACAGCUAUAGCAAAGUCUUGGGAAGAAAUUGCCAGCUUAUUUGGAAAUGCUGACAAUGUAGCUGCAGGACGGAAAAAAACUUUCAGUAUCUGAAUCAUAGGAAGAAGGACAGGAUCAUGAUUCUGCAGUCUUAAACAGAGGAGGAAGUCUUUGAAGGAAAUGAUUCUACCCCGCUAUGGGUAAGUAUGACAAUCUUUAUCAUAUUCAGUCCAAGAAUCUCCUGGCUGUAUCAGUUAGAGUUUGAUUAUAAACAGGCAGAAAGAGGCUGUGGAGUCUUUGUCCAGCUGUGAUGUCUGGUGCUGUGCUUCUCUUGCCCCCAGGCAGAGAUGCAAGCACAGGGUGAUGAAUAUCUUGGGACACUUUUUUCAGAGCUCUGGGACAACACAUUGGCUAAGGGAAUGGUGGUUAGAUCUGCCCUUAUCUAAAAAACUGUAUUUUCCUGCUUACCCAAAGCAAGAAAGUUAAUUAUCAAGACAGGUACUCUCUUAUUUCCCCUCUUCCCCUCAGUUAACCUAAAUCUGGUCCAGGCUGGAGAGUGGAUUGUCCCAGGCCUGGAAAUGAUGCUUAGAUUUGUCUCCAGGAUACAUCAAAACAGGAGACACAAGAGCUCCCAUUUGGUAUUCAUAGAUAGAAAAGAGGGUGUCAUUGUAAAGAGAUCCCAGUUUCAACGUACUUUAUGGCCAACUCUUCUAAACUAUCAACAUGCAUGAAUUAAAUCCAUGGAAAUUCCACAAUACAAAUUUGGUGUUACAGGCUAGAAUAAGCUGGUCAUGUCCUCAGUUGAUCCUAAUUAAAACUGAACAGAGGGUUUACCCUGGCCAUGCAGAUGUACUCUGGUGGAAAAUUCAGCUGCAUGGUUUUUGCUUGGCUUUGGGAUUAUGACAUGUUAGAUUUAUUGGCUCAUUUGCUGCAGUAAAUGAGAGGCUCUGGCUUGAGCAACCAUUGAUAGCAGGGAGGUGAAUGGGCUGGCUGAGGAGCAGGACAGGAAUGGAGAGAGAACAUUUGUUCUGAAAGACAGAACACAGUCCUCACACACUGUCCUAGUCCAUCAUGACUGUUUUCCACAGCCACUAGGCAUGAUCUGCUUUGCCACUUGAAAUGAACAAACAUAAUUUUUUUCUUAAGUGAGAAGUGUUGUAAUGAAAAGAAUCUGACAGAUCAUAGAAUAUACUACAGGAGCUUUUUUGAAGUGAGCUAGCUUCCCUACCACUAGAAAGAAAAGGGAUUUCCUGGUGCCAAUUUCCAUGCUAAGAACUGAAGUGUAGGGAAAGCAAAGGAUUUUACAUAUUCUUGCACAGGAAAUAAAGGCGUUUGGUUUUGCAGUUACCUGCUGUAUUGAGAUAUCCAAACACUAUUUGGGAAUCAUGAGAAGUUGAGGUACUUAUGCCAGAGAGUGUAGGCACCUGAAAUUAUGGAUUAAAAAUAUCACAUUUAUAAGCCUAGUGAAAAUGAGUAAAUAAAGACAGAUGAGACAUGAUGACUUUCUAUGUGACAAUAUGAAGCUGAUGAACGUGAUGAUCACAUGCAAAGAAUGAGAAAAAUAUUUUCCUAUGAUUCAAUUUCUGACUCAGAAUUUAAAUCUCCUGAAAGAUCCCUAUCAAGGGGACACUUUAGUAAGGAGGGAAUCUGCCUAACUUAACAAAAUUCAGAGAAUAAAUUUCACAAAAAUUAUAGAGCAACAGAGGCAACUGUGAAUGAGCGCAGGUUGAAUGCCAGAGGAAGGACUCUUACAAAAUAUUUUCCCUAUUUUGUUACCUCAUCAUUAAUAUAAUAUUGUCUUAACCUUAUGGUAACUGGUAAUGGUAAUUGAUAGUAUUAAGAACAAAUUUGUAGCAGAUGGUUUCUAGUUUGCUGUAUGAGGACUUGAGACCCCAGAGAAGUCUCAUGGAUUGGCCAUGGCCUGUGUAACAGGGUGGGAGGGUCCAGAGCAGAUCAGAUGCAGGAGAGGAGCCUAUGGAGAAAUACCAUCCACUUGCUGUCUAUCCCAAACUUCCACUCUUGUCCUGCUUUGACUGCUGAGCCCUGAGCCUUCUGUUCUUACCAAGCUUUCCCUGAGGCAGCACCUCUCACUGCUCAGGCUCAUGCCCUGUGUGUGCUACAAUGAAUUAAUGUUGUUUUGCUGCAUGUGCGGCGUUGCCAUGGCCCUGAUCUGCUCUCAUAUCACCUGGGGAGAAGUGUUUUCUGCAGUGCUAGACACAAGCCAAGACAGAAUUUGAUGUGAAUACCGUUUGAAGGAUAAAGAAACUGA